rnacentral:rRNA from 1 species
UACGUAGGGUGCGAGCGUUAAUCGGAAUUACUGGGCGUAAAGCGUGCGCAGGCGGUUAUGUAAGACAGUUGUGAAAUCCCCGGGCUCAACCUGGGAAUUGCAUCUGUGACUGCAUAGCUAGAGUACGGUAGAGGGGGAUGGAAUUCCGCGUGUAGCAGUGAAAUGCGUAGAUAUGCGGAGGAACACCGAUGGCGAAGGCAAUCCCCCUGGACCUGUACUGACGCUCAUGCACGAAAGCGUGGGGGAGCAAACAGG